rnacentral:misc_RNA from 1 species
AUUUGGAUUCCUGGGACCAAAAUACGAAGGAAUAUCAUGGAAAACUCCUCCGAAAAAAUUCGGAAUCAUCAUCUCACAUUUUGAGAAAACUCCAAGGCUAUAGGCUUACCGUUUUUUCGGGCUGAAAGGUGAAAUAAUUGCCAGAAUAAUUCCAGGACGCUGAUCCUUUGUAAAAAUGCGCAACGAACACGACGCCGUCGAUCAAAUUGAUCUGACAUCAAAUCCCUACGAUUUGGAUUCCUGGGACCAAAAUACGGAGGAAUAUCAUGGAAAACUCCUUCAAAAACAUUCGGAAUCAUCAUCUCACAUUUUGAGGAAACUCCAAGGCUAUAGGCUUACCGUUUUUUUGGGGCUGAAAGGUGAAAUAAUUGCCAGAAUAAUUCCAGGACGCUGAUCCUUUGUAAAAAUGCGCAACGAACACGACGCCGUCGAUCAAAUUGAUCUGACAUCAAAUCCCUACGAUUUGGAUUCUUGAGACCAAAAUACAUAGAAUUAACAUAGAAAUUCUCAUGGAUGAAAUUCUUAACAGAUACUCCGAACAGAUGUUUCUCGACUUGGUGCCUCAUCACGUGCAUGCCUCCAUUCUCGUGUAAUAAAUCAUACUUUUACAGGGUAUGAUGACGACAUCAGCUAGUCGCAUGCCGGGCUGAUCGUACGCAAUCAUAUGUAUUAAUUCCUACUCCUAUUAAUACAUGUACUACAAUCACCACAAUCACCGCAU